GAUGAACGCUGGCGGCGUGCCUAAUACAUGCAAGUCGAGCGAACGGACGAGAAGCUUGCUUCUCUGAUGUUAGCGGCGGACGGGUGAGUAACACGUGGAUAACCUACCUAUAAGACUGGGAUAACUUCGGGAAACCGGAGCUAAUACCGGAUAAUAUUUUGAACCGCAUGGUUCAAAAGUGAAAGACGGUCUUGCUGUCACUUAUAGAUGGAUCCGCGCUGCAUUAGCUAGUUGGUAAGGUAACGGCUUACCAAGGCAACGAUGCAUAGCCGACCUGAGAGGGUGAUCGGCCACACUGGAACCGAGACACGGUCCAGACUCCUACGGGAGGCAGCAGUAGGGAAUCUUCCGCAAUGGGCGAAAGCCUGACGGAGCAACGCCGCGUGAGUGAUGAAGGUCUUCGGAUCGUAAAACUCUGUUAUUAGGGAAGAACAUAUGUGUAAGUAACUGUGCACAUCUUGACGGUACCUAAUCAGAAAGCCACGGCUAACUACGUGCCAGCAGCCGCGGUAAUACGUAGGUGGCAAGCGUUAUCCGGAAUUAUUGGGCGUAAAGCGCGCGUAGGCGGUUUUUUAAGUCUGAUGUGAAAGCCCACGGCUCAACCGUGGAGGGUCAUUGGAAACUGGAAAACUUGAGUGCAGAAGAGGAAAGUGGAAUUCCAUGUGUAGCGGUGAAAUGCGCAGAGAUAUGGAGGAACACCAGUGGCGAAGGCGACUUUCUGGUCUGUAACUGACGCUGAUGUGCGAAAGCGUGGGGAUCAAACAGGAUUAGAUACCCUGGUAGUCCACGCCGUAAACGAUGAGUGCUAAGUGUUAGGGGGUUUCCGCCCCUUAGUGCUGCAGCUAACGCAUUAAGCACUCCGCCUGGGGAGUACGACCGCAAGGUUGAAACUCAAAGGAAUUGACGGGGACCCGCACAAGCGGUGGAGCAUGUGGUUUAAUUCGAAGCAACGCGAAGAACCUUACCAAAUCUUGACAUCCUUUGACAACUCUAGAGAUAGAGCUUUCCCCUUCGGGGGACAAAGUGACAGGUGGUGCAUGGUUGUCGUCAGCUCGUGUCGUGAGAUGUUGGGUUAAGUCCCGCAACGAGCGCAACCCUUAAGCUUAGUUGCCAUCAUUAAGUUGGGCACUCUAAGUUGACUGCCGGUGACAAACCGGAGGAAGGUGGGGAUGACGUCAAAUCAUCAUGCCCCUUAUGAUUUGGGCUACACACGUGCUACAAUGGACAAUACAAAGGGCAGCGAAACCGCGAGGUCAAGCAAAUCCCAUAAAGUUGUUCUCAGUUCGGAUUGUAGUCUGCAACUCGACUACAUGAAGCUGGAAUCGCUAGUAAUCGUAGAUCAGCAUGCUACGGUGAAUACGUUCCCGGGUCU
rnacentral:rRNA from 1 species